rnacentral:tRNA from 2 species
AGCGGGUAUAGUUUAGUGGUAAAAGUGCGAUUCGUAGCCUUCCAAGCUAAUGAUGCGGGUUCGAUUCCCGCUACCCGCUU